CAGAAAGUUGAUACUAUUCUGAGGUCCAACCCGAAAGGUGAAGAAAUCUUCAAAGAAUAUGACAAAACUAAGACGCUGUCAGACACAACACGCAGACAUAUGAUCAACAUUCUGGUUGCAGAAAUGACAGAUUCACAUGGGAGGAUUCCCCCCAGAAGUGUCAGGACUAGUUAUGCACUCGGAAUUGUGAACCUUUUCCCAUAUCUACAAGAUCCGUACUCAGAGCAUGGAUAUGCAAGUCUUUUUGAUAUCCAAAAACAGUUGUUUUCAUCAUCAAUCGAUAUCUCUGCCUUAUAUUUCUAAAUGUUUUGAUUGUGUGUGAACAGGAACAUUACUAUGACCCUGAGGCGAAUACUGGCUAUCUUGCUUGGAGACUCGAAGACAGUCCAACGCAACACGCACGAUGGCCUCCGUGGGCAUUCCAGGCCCAAUCCCCAGGGCAGGCCAACAACCCAACGAGAAUCUUUGUUGAUUGCUGAACAGCUCAAGGAUGAGGAGUGCAGAGAGGCCGUGUCUGUAAUAAGACACUCCACAGAUGAAUCCGUGGUCAAUGAAGAUGAGAGCCACCUUCGAAUACAGACAGAAGCUGGUUCAUGACCAGGAUGCAACAUCUUCAGUCUUUGACGUCUUCCCUCGUUUCCUUGACAUACCCGGACUGAUUGACCAGGAUUUCUCACUGAUGUUUGGGGACGAAGUGUCUGGAAAGUUUCUUGCAAAGUGGCCUUCAUAUUUCAAGCCCAAAGUCAUCAGAGAAAGCCAGAGUCUUCCUUUCAGUCUUCAUGUUGAGGAACUGCGGGCAGGUUGCAACCCUGAGACUGAGAAUGAUCAUGGCUGGGAUAGUGAUAUGUCAGCUCUCCUGUUGCAUCUUCUGCCCCCUACAUCAAGUGGCCAUAAGAAAACUGUCAAGAUCAGCGCCGCACAGGCAGAGGACCAUCUUGUUAGAUUUGUUAAGCAUGGAGCCAGCCUCACUACAUUCCUGGAGAAAGUUGAUGCCAGACAGCCUUUCCUCCUCGGCACUGGACAGCAAAAGAAGAAAGUCGAGAGAUUCUUCAUCGUUGUGGACAACAAACCGAUCCCAUGCAACGCCCUGACGUCGGUGGGUGCCUUUGAUGGGCUAUUCAAAGCUCAUUAUGUUUUCAGCCUCUUAUGAUGAAGCCCUCUUCAGUUUCUACACCUUCAUUCAAACCACAGUCUACAACAUAGAUGUUGGAAGUGCAAAGGAAACGCCACGAGUCAAGGAGCUGAGAGCACGACUGCUACGUGAGCCUUAAAUUCCCACCAUUGCACAAAGGUCAAGGAAUUGUUAAAAAAAAACUGUUCAGUGAUUAUGUUCACCUGUUUUGUUUGCAAAACACACCACAAAAGUUGUUCGCUUCUAUGUCAACAUUUAAAGUUCCAACACGGUUUAUACCCAGCCAAAAACCUACGUCUGAAGUGUGGAGAACAAGGAUGUCCUUAUUCUUUUUGUACAUACAAUGGCUUCAGGAAGCAUCUUAACAAUGUACACAGUCAUCACCA